GGGGAUUUAGCUUAGCGGCAUAAGCACCUGCCUUGUAAGCAGGCAGUCCCGA
rnacentral:tRNA from 1 species